rnacentral:rRNA from 1 species
CCUACGGGAGGCAGCAGUGGGGAAUAUUGGACAAUGGGCGAAAGCCUGAUCCAGCCAUGCCGCGUGUGUGAAGAAGGCCUUCGGGUUGUAAAGCACUUUCAGUGGGGAAGAAAGCCUUGGGGCUAAUACCCUCGAGGAAGGACAUCACCCACAGAAGAAGCACCGGCUAACUCCGUGCCAGCAGCCGCGGUAAUACGGAGGGUGCGAGCGUUAAUCGGAAUUACUGGGCGUAAAGCGCGCGUAGGCGGUCUGAUAAGCCGGUUGUGAAAGCCCCGGGCUCAACCUGGGAACGGCAUCCGGAACUGUCAGGCUAGAGUGCAGGAGAGGAAGGUAGAAUUCCCGGUGUAGCGGUGAAAUGCGUAGAGAUCGGGAGGAAUACCAGUGGCGAAGGCGGUCUUCUGGACUGACACUGACGCUGAGGUGCGAAAGCGUGGGUAGCAAACAGGAUUAGAUACCCCUGUAGUC